GCAGUGCAAGAAUUUGGACUGAGAUCUGGGAGGAGCUCUUAGACUCUGCGCUUUAUUCCAUGGUACAAUCCCUGUGUAAAGAAAUUUCUUGUGCAAUCUGGUUUUCUUUUGCAUACAUCAUUUACCAUCUUUCAAGGGUGAAAAAAAUGUACCAACAAUUUGCCAGCACCUUAAAUGAACUGCCAAGCCUGUCAAGUUUCCUUCCUUAAUACACUUUUACCUUUUGGGUUACUUUGUAUUUUUGAGUGAGUAAAGUCCAGCUA